AACCAUUAUGAUCACAACUGGAGGCUGCAAUUUCCAAUUGCAUCUCUCCCCUACAAUGCUGGAAGAAAUUUUGGUAGGGCUUAUUGUUGAUGAUGGUGAAGAAAAGCCAUGGCAAAUAAAUCUAGGUUUUAUUAAGAUUGAUAUUGAUAGGGUCAAAUGCUGAAGAACCAUCAACUUUUGUUGUUAAUACACAAACAAUUGGAGGGGUAUGAUGAAAUGGAAGUUCCUCUAUAUUCCAUGGAU